AUUGAACGCUGGCGGCAGGCCUAACACAUGCAAGUCGAGCGAGCGGCGGACGGGUGAGUAAUGUCUGGGAAACUGCCUGAUGGAGGGGGAUAACUGCUGGAAACGGUAGCUAAUACCGCAUACCAUCAGAUGUGCCCAGAUGGGAUUAGCUAGUAGGUGGGGUAACGGCUCACCUAGGCGCCGAUCCCUAGCUGGUCUGAGAGGAUGACCAGCCACACUGGAAAUGAGACACGGUCCAGACGCCUAGGUGAGGCAGCGGUGGGGAAUAUUGGACAAUGGGCGCAAGCCUGAUACAGCCAGGCCGCGUGUGUGAAGAAGGCCUUCGGGUUGUAAAGCACUUUCAGCGGGGAGGCGUUACCCGCAGAAGAAGCACCGGCUAACUCCGUGCCAGCCGCCGCGGUAAUAC
rnacentral:rRNA from 1 species